AGCUAGGGGAUGAAAGAGAGAGGGAAAAAGAGGGAGCAAGCUGGGCUGGCUCACAGAUCCCGUGGGAGAGACCUGGCAUUCACUUGCAAGGCUGGGAGAAGCCCUGGGAAAAAGGAUGCACUAAGAGAGUUGUAAGGCAUAGCACAAAGGAGGCAGCACAGUGGGAAGACAAUUUCAGUGUUCCCAGACCGGAUUCCUUUCAUCUCAAGCCAAGCCUAAGAAUAUGGUGUGGGAGCACACCCAUAGUACUCCAACCACCAGUGGGCAUUAGUGGGCUAACAACAGUGUGAAGGAAACAUGCCCUACACUCACAGAGGACUCCCUGAGAAGAUCAUCCUGCUUGCCUUGAGCCAUCAAAGAAGAUAUCAUCCAGACUGUCUUCACAUCCACAAGAUAUGUGAGUGCUCAGCACCUUUCAGAAGUCCAGAAGGGAUCACACAACCUGCAGUGGCCUUCUGGUGAUUAAAUAAAAGUAUGUAAAGUAGCUCAAAAAUCCUCUCCAAAAUCUACUUUCAUAGUAGAGUAAUUCUACUCAGUACUGGAAAUAAGUUUUAUUACUUCAUCUCAAGUUCAUUAGGGUGCUAAUUAAUAAAUAAA